UUCCGAAGGGAUUAUCAUCCCUGCCUUCAGCAUCGCCCUUACCUCAUUGCUAACUUUCCCCACAUACUCUCCAGUUAUUCUGUAGGGGUUGACAGCAAUAGGCUUAGCAUCCCCAGUGUCGAUAUGAUGUAUAACUCCUUUAGCUCUACCUGUAGUGUUACUGAAAAUGUCUUUAUAAUCUUGUAGGAUCUGCUUAACCUCCACCUGCUGAUUCAGGGUUAAUGUAGGAGCUAUCUUUAUUUCUUGUAGAUUGCACAAUUGCUCCCCUCUCCCUUCCCAGCAUGUUAUAUCGGUUAUUUUGUGGUAUUAUAUCUUAAUUUUAUUCUGUGAACUGCCCUGAGACCCCCAGUUAUAAAGCGGUAUAUUAAAUAAGUAAGUAAGUAAGUGACGCGGGUGGCGCUGUAAGGGACGCGGGUGGCGUAGUGGGUUAAACCACAGAGCCUAGGACUUGCUGAUCAGAAGGUUGGUGGUUCGAAUCCCUGCAACGGGAUGAACUCCCGUUGCUCGGUCCCUGCUCCUGCCAACCUAGCAUUUCUAAAGCACGUCAAAGAGAAGUGGAUAAAUAGGUACCGCUCUGGCAGAAAGGUAAACGGUGUUUCCGUGCGCUGCUCUGGUUUGCCAGAAGCGGCUUAGUCAUGCUGGCCACAUGACCCGGAAGGUGUAUGCCGCCUCCCUCGGCCAAUAAAGCGAGAUGAGCGCCACAGCCCCAGAGUCUGCCACAACUGAACGUAAUGGUCAGGGGUCCCUUUACCUUGAGUAGGUAAGUAAGUAAGUAAGUAAGUAAGUAAAUGGCUUAGUCAUCCUCUACGGUGGAAAGGAGAAGGGAAAGGACAGGCUGGCCAAUUAUUGUUGUGAAAGGUGCCCUUCGUUCAGGUAACCGCAAGGGUCCAGCCAAGAUUUAUUUUAGGGGGGCCUAUGAAGUUGUGCCUCCGUUUCAUGCUCUUCUGAAUGAACUUUCCUUUCACUUGUGGACCAUGGUAUUUGUUCUCCCUCUACACAGGAUUUGGCCUGUUACAAACCGAUUAUAUCUGCCUCCUGUUGAUGAUGUCCUGCUGUCUUCACUGACAUUGGGAGCUGUCCACCACUGUAUAAUUGUUGCAGAAGGGAACUUCUGCUUGGCGAAUGAGAAUCAAACAAGUGUCCAGAGGAAAGUGUCAUUUCUCCUCCCCACGCC